AUUGAACGCUGGCGGCAGGCCUAACACAUGCAAGUCGAACGAGUGGCGGACGGGUGAGUAAUGUCUGGGAAACUGCCUGAUGGAGGGGGAUAACUAAUGGAAACGGUAGCUAAUACCGCAUACCAUCGGAUGUGCCCAGAUGGGAGUAGCUAGUAGGUGAGGGAAAUGCUCCCCUAGGCGACGAUCCCUAGCUGGUCUGAGAGGAUGACCAGCAACACUGGGACUGAGACACGGUCCAGACUCCUACGGGAGGCAGCAGUGGGGAAUAUUGCACAAUGGGCGCAAGCCUGAUGCAGCCAUGCCGCGUGUAUGAAGAAGGCCUUCGGGUUGUAAAGUACUUUCAGCCGGGAGGCGUUACCCGCAGAAGAAGCACCGGCUAACUCCGUGCCAGCAGCCGCGGUAAUAC
rnacentral:rRNA from 1 species